rnacentral:miRNA from 1 species
GACGGCUACAAAUACCUAAAGCUUGAGAAAGAAACUUGAAGAUAUUGAUUGAAGUCUGGAUCGAUCUUUGGUAAUGCUAUGAUCAAGAACAACAAGAUCGUGAGCACAGAUCGGCCAGUUCGGUCACUUUUUAAAAGAGAGAUGUUAUAUUGUUAAUUUGUUAUUAUCAGGUAUAAUAAAUACAGAA